GGCGGGGGCCUAUAAUGCAAGUCGAGCGCAUGAAAUUAUUUGAUUCUCUUCGGAGUUGACGAUAAUGGAAUGAGCGGCGGACGGGUGAGUAACACGUAGGCAACCUGCCUGUAAGACUGGGAUAACUCGUGGAAACGCGAGCUAAUACCGGAUAACACUUUUCAUCUCCUGAUGAGAAGUUGAAAGGCGGCUUUUGCUGUCACUUACAGAUGGGCCUGCGGCGCAUUAGCUAGUUGGUAAGGUAACGGCUUACCAAGGCGACGAUGCGUAGCCGACCUGAGAGGGUGAUCGGCCACACUGGGACUGAGACACGGCCCAGACUCCUACGGGAGGCAGCAGUAGGGAAUCUUCCGCAAUGGACGAAAGUCUGACGGAGCAACGCCGCGUGAGUGAUGAAGGUUUUCGGAUCGUAAAACUCUGUUGUUAGGGAAGAACAAGUACUAUAGUAACUGAUAGUACCUUGACGGUACCUAACCAGAAAGCCACGGCUAACUACGUGCCAGCAGCCGCGGUAAUACGUAGGUGGCAAGCGUUGUCCGGAAUUAUUGGGCGUAAAGCGCUCGCAGGCGGUUCUUUAAGUCUGAUGUGAAAUCUUACGGCUCAACCGUAAACGUGCAUUGGAAACUGGGGAACUUGAGUGCAGAAGAGGAGAGUGGAAUUCCACGUGUAGCGGUGAAAUGCGUAGAGAUGUGGAGGAACACCAGUGGCGAAGGCGACUCUCUGGUCUGUAACUGACGCUGAGGAGCGAAAGCGUGGGGAGCGAACAGGAUUAGAUACCCUGGUAGUCCACGCCGUAAACGAUGAGUGCUAGGUGUUAGGGGGUUUCCGCCCCUUAGUGCUGAAGUUAACGCAUUAAGCACUCCGCCUGGGGAGUACGGCCGCAAGGCUGAAACUCAAAAG
rnacentral:rRNA from 1 species